GUAUUCUACGAUGUUUCUGAUUGAAAAUAAACUAUUUUACAGUAUGUUCUUUCAUAAAAUGUAUAAUGUAAGAUCCUAAAUUCUACCAGUUUAAGAAGAAGAAGCCAAUAUGAACAAAACUGACCGAUGAUUUCUCUUCUAUUUUUUUUAAAUCGAAAACAACGCAGUUUUUCCUUCGAAAGGAAACAAUUCUUACUUUGAAAAUGGAGUAACUUGUACAGGGUUAACAUCGCUAUUUCUGAACCUAAUAACAGUGAAUUUUGGAUAGCUCUGAAAAUUGAAGCUCUCUUGAAUUUUACUAUGGUCCUGUAGUGCAAUACUCCAUAGUAAUUUUUACUGUGGUAACUUACUAUAAACUACUAAAAAUUUCUUUCCGUGUAUGGGUAUUAACAAAAUAAAUAACGUACUCGUGACAUUUUUUAUUUUAUUGUUUUCUUCAGAUAUACGAAAAUAUACCUCGUGAAAAUAAUUGCAUAAGUGACGUAGAAAGUGAAUACAUCGAGAUCUGUGAAACUCAACAUUGUUCUUUUCAACAAAACUGCAAAUAUUUCAUCAAUUGACUAAAUUACGUGGUAAAACUGUGAAAAACCAAAACCGCCUCAUACGUACUGGAGAUUAUAUUCCAAAGAGGGCUCGGCCUUUUUCGUAGAGAAUGAAAUUCUCCUCGAGAAGUGGCUUCCAUUUUUGUUCAAAACUUCUCCAUUUUUUUAACAAAAUUUUAAUAUUUCCGUCUUUUGCUUUAAUUUUUCUUGCGAAGUAUGAAUUAUACAAAUUAAAACAAAUAAGCAUGUAAAUAAUCUAAUUUUCUAUCAUUCGGCGAUUAAACGAUUUUAUACAAACAUACUAAUAAAAUACACCUAUCGAAAUAAUGUCUCCUAAUGAAUAUUACAAUAACUAUUGAAACACAAUUUCCUACUCAUGACAGUAUCUAAAAUUGAGCAAAGUUAAAUUAGGUGACUAGAAUUGAAAAAUUUCAAUUUUUCCAUUCUCUGAAUAUUUCUUCGUAUUUCGAGAGCAAUUUGGUUACAUUCUUUAUUUAUCAAAUUUGUAUUAUUGAAGAACUAUGAAAUUUGAUUUUUGCUCCUUCAUUUAAUUAUUUACAAUUUUUACAUAUAUAUACUACUCACUAAUUUGGCGAAUUGAAUACUGAAAAGUUCUCAUCAAUUAAGUAUUGCCAUUAUCCAACAAAUAAUGAUUUUUGUUCUUUCAAUUUUGAUUAUUAAAAAAAUUAAAUAAAAAAAUUGACACAAUAUUCAAUUAUUUCUCACACGUCAAUGUAGAAUUCCUCACAUUACAAUUUUUUAGUAUUAUUUAUAGAAAACAAUAUAGGUAAAUAAUUGCUUAUAGCUCUUUAUUAAUGCAGUAGUCAUGCUGCAAUAAUAAUCGCCUUGAGCUAGUGAUAAAUAAUUUAUUAAUAUUCUAAAUAUAAUAUGCAUAACAAAGAACUAUGCUUUAAGGCCCGCAUGUGUUCCUUGUCGGGGUUAUCGGAUAAAUUGAAUGUUUUUUAUCUUAUUCUAAAAAAUUAUUCCCAGCUUCUGGGUUUCGCCACGUUUACAGGAAUAGUAUAUUAUGCAACAAGUGCGUAAUGGAUAUCUUGGCUCGUGGGAAGGUUGUAACACGAGCCGAAGACGAGUUUCACAAUCCCACGAGUCAAAAAAUCCAUGAUGCACGUGUUUCGUACACUAUUUUAUGUCAUUGGGCCCGUAAUCCGUAAUUAGGAGCACGUAUGACAUAACAGUACAUUAUGUUAUCAGGUGAUAAAAGUAUUAUCCAGCGAAAGCGGGUUCUAUUCGAGCCACAGGCGAGGGGAUCAUAAUGACAUUCGAAAGAUAAUACUUUUACUGUCGUGUGGCAGACAAAAUUUUUCCCCGGGCCCGACAAAUCGCGAUUCUAACCUCACUUCGUUCAGUUAAAUCACGUCUGUCGGGCCACAGUGACGAAAAAUUAUUUAACAUACAAGAAUUACUCGUAAUGAUAACUAUCUUUCAGUUACCAUGGAAGUGAAUGCACUUAAAAAUUCAUUUUUACAUUUGAGCCAGCAAAAACUGAUAAAAAACUGCCUUUGGCAGUGUUCAUAUGAUUGGAAAACGAUUGGAAGUGACACAAUAUCCAGGAAGGACAGAUAUAUCAAGUGAAACGGAACCAUUUAUGAAUUUAUUCCUAUCGUGAACGGGAAGUGAGUAGAGAAAACGAAUUUUUUCACUAUAGAAAUUUCAGAUAACAGUCAUUACUCUGAAUUCAUAUCCCAUUCUCAAAUGAAAUCAUUCUCAUAUAUAAUAUUGCCUUCCAUUAAUAAUAAACCUCUCUAAUAGGAAUAUCAUAAGGAGUUUGCAUCGCUCCUCAAUAAGAGUCUUUGAGAUCAUGAGAUUUAACUGGUCUGGUUUAUUUGAAACACUGACGAAAUUAUAAUUCCAGUUCAAAUCAGGAAAGUGCCGAUAUCUUGGGAUCUAGAAAUGCGCAUAAGAAACCUUUCCAUAUGGACGGCCACUCCAUUUUACUCUAGGACAAGAAAAACUUGAGUCAUGGAAUUAAGGAUGUUCUACCCUGAAUUUCAUUGUAAUGAAAAAACUUUGCAAAAAAAUUCGGACAUAAUUUCCAACUCAUUCUAACACUCCAUGCGAAAUUUGAGUCCAAUUCACAAUGUAGUUUUUUUUAAUCAAUUUUUGAAAUAUUAUUUUUUUUUGCAGUAGAAUAUCGUGGAAUUUACCAAAAAGACAUAUUGGAUAUAACUACUUCAAGCCUUUGUAAAUUUUUUGUAUGAUCUUCAAAUUAUUCUGAACAAUUAUGCGAAAUUUCAAAAUGAUUUGAUGCGAAUAAUUUAUUAUUGUGAGUUGUAAACAACUAAAUUUUCAAAUAAUUUGAUAGGAGUGCGUUGUCAUUGAGUGAAGAAAUCAUGAAAAAAUUAAGCGAUUUAUCUCAAAUUUUUUACGUGAAAUAAUUAUUGAUUAACCAAUAUAUUAAUAUAUUAAUUGUAUGGAAUUUCAUUAAAUUCUACAGCACAGUUCUUUGUUAAAAAAAUUUAAACUACUGACAAAUCCUUUUGAGAGACAAUUACUGCGCGCGCAGUGUGAAUACGUGAUCACACCGUGUAGCAAGCAAGGAGAGGGAUUGGACGCGGUAGAUUCCAAUACCGGAGUAGGUUAUAUUGGCCAUAUUGGCGAAUGAAGAUGAAAUAUAUUAAAAAUUCAACUUGGUAAGUUUUUUAUUACAAAAUUGUUAUUCAUGAAUAGUGAUAUAAAAUUAACAAUAGAAUUGAAUAAAAAAAGUACGUUAGAAAUAGCA